AGAACUUAUCCAGUGAUGGCGGUUCAGCUUUGAAGUGACCCCAAGACAGUAUUGCAUCAUCGUAAUUAUAACGUUUCACGUCAUCUUUGGAGAAAUAGUUGUUGGACAAAAAUGACCGCAACGUGGGAUAGUUAAUGUAAUCUGUAUCCACCAAAGUUUAUAGAUAGUAAACUACUAUCACUAUCUAUGGGCCUUGCGUGUCCGCGGCCGCCUUUCGCAAAUUAACAUAUUUUGUCAUUUCGCCAAAACAAAAUAAUGCGUUUCUCGUGU